AACUACAGAAAGCUGUAUCUAAAAGUUCAGUGCUGAGGCUACUGGCAGAGUGCAUUGGACACUCCUCACAAUGUCCUCGGGGAAGGUCUGAGAUUAAAGCUAAUGGCUGCUUUCACAAAGCAUUGCUUGACCCAAGCAAGUGGGUUCCCAUCAACAUUGGUAAGCUUGAUCCUUCAAAGCAAAAGAUGUAGUUCUCUCUCAGAAUGUGGAAUUGCUACAGAUGUGAUGUCAACAAGCUUGGAAGAAACUCACAGCUGGCUGUUGUAAGUCCAAUAACUGAAAGGAAGCUCCCAGGUGUUUCCUAACUCAAUUCAGACUACUCUCUCUCCACUUUUGCACAACCAUCUGUCUACAGCUCCCUUUUGGCAGAAAAAUGCAAUGUUGACGUUUCAGAAUCAUCAAUUUUAUUUACAUUAAUGAGCAUCUACAUGAAAUAAAAACAUCUCUUGAUUUUUCAAAAAGAAAUAUCACGAAACCGAUGCCGAAACAUCUUUGAAUAAAUGUUGAAUAGGCAAACUAAUAUGCAAAAAGUGUUCACGAAACAAUCACUAAUUUCAUAAUUGUAAUAUACUUAUUAAGUUAAAAUUCCCUUUUAGCGUUUUGACUUUUACAUGAGAAAAAGAAAAAGUAGCAGGCAUCUGGAACAUGUUGUAAAAUGGUGUGGAAGGCCAACGGAUUUCGUACUGUAAAGUGUUACUUGUUCUAUGGCCAGCCAUCUAUAAAUGUUCUGAUAUGUCAAAAUGGGGUCUUACCAUUUUUCAAAGAAAAAGGUAAGAUCAGGUGGAGGUAUUAUUUUGUUGCGUUUUCACACUCACUUUUCUAGUUUUCAACCUUCCAAUUAGACCAAAAAGAUACCUAUGAAGACUAAGACAUGUAAAAUGCCAUUGGUGACCUCCUUCUAAAAAUGUUUUUCAUACUUCUUUCGUGCCAAUGGCAAAGGCAGUAAUUAAUAGCAAGAUCAGUCCACAUAUACCAGCCUACCAUCAACAUAAAUUAAUUUUCUCUCUUUACAUGCUGUUGUAAGAGUCUCCUUAUGUUGACUUCCCCCUCCCAGGAUGAGGUUUAAAAGAACUACAGAAAGCUGUAUCUAAAUUGUGGAGAGAAGUUCAGUGCUGAGGCUACUGGCAGAGUGCAUUGGACACUCCUCGCAAUGUCCUCGGGGAAGGUCUGAGAUUAAAGCUAAUGGCUGCUUUCACAAAGCAUUGCUUGACCCAAGCAAGUGGGUUCCCAUCAACAUUGGUAAGCUUGAUCCUUCAAAGCAGAAGAUGUAGUUCUCUCUCAGAAUGUGGAAUUGCUACAGAUGUGAUGUCAUCAAGCUUGGAAGAAACUCACAGCUGGCUGUUGUAAGUCCAAUAACUGAAAGGAAGCUCCCAGGUGUUUCCUAACUCAAUUCAGACUACUCUCUCUCCACUUUUGCACAACCAUCUGUCUACAGCUCCCUUUUGGCAGAAAAAUGCAAUGUUGACGUUUCAGAAUCAUCAAUUUUAUUUACAUUAAUGAGCAUCUACAUGAAAUAAAAACAUCUCUUGAUUUUUCAAAAAGAAAUAUCACGAAACCGAUGCCGAAACAUCUUUGAAUAAAUGUUGAAUAGGCAAACUAAUAUGCAAAAAGUGUUCACGAAACAAUCACUAAUUUCAUAAUUGUAAUAUACUUAUUAAGUUAAAAUUCCCUUUUAGCGUUUUGACUUUUACAUGAGAAAAAGAAAAAGUAGCAGGCAUCUGGAACAUGUUGUAAAAUGGUGUGGAAGGCCAACGGAUUUCGUACUGUAAAGUGUUACUUGUUCUAUGGCCAGCCAUCUAUAAAUGUUCUGAUAUGUCAAAAUGGGGUCUUACCAUUUUUCAAAGAAAAAGGUAAGAUCAGGUGGAGGUAUUAUUUUGUUGCGUUUUCACACUCACUUUUCUAGUUUUCAACCUUCCAAUUAGACCAAAAAGAUACCUAUGAAGACUAAGACAUGUAAAAUGCCAUUGGUGACCUCCUUCUAAAAAUGUUUUUCAUACUUCUUUCGUGCCAAUGGCAAAGGCAGUAAUUAAUAGCAAGAUCAGUCCACAUAUACCAGCCUACCAUCAACAUAAAUUAAUUUUCUCUCUUUACAUGCUGUUGUAAGAGUCUCCUUAUGUUGACUUCCCCCUCCCAGGAUGAGGUUUAAAAGAACUACAGAAAGCUGUAUCUAAAUUGUGGAGAGAAGUUCAGUGCUGAGGCUACUGGCAGAGUGCAUUGGACACUCCUCACAAUGUCCUCGGGGAAGGUCUGAGAUUAAAGCUAAUGGCUGCUUUCACAAAGCAUUGCUUGACCCAAGCAAGUGGGUUCCCAUCAACAUUGGUAAGCUUGAUCCUUCAAAGCAGAAGAUGUAGUUCUCUCUCAGAAUGUGGAAUUGCUACAGAUGUGAUGUCAUCAAGCUUGGAAGAAACUCACAGCUGGCUGUUGUAAGUCCAAUAACUGAAAGGAAGCUCCCAGGUGUUUCCUAACUCAAUUCAGACUACUCUCUCUCCACUUUUGCACAACCAUCUGUCUACAGCUCCCUUUUGGCAGAAAAAUGCAAUGUUGACGUUUCAGAAUCAUCAAUUUUAUUUACAUUAAUGAGCAUCUACAUGAAAUUAAAACAUCUCUUGAUUUUUCAAAAAGAAAUAUCACGAAACCGAUGCCGAAACAUCUUUGAAUAAAUGUUGAAUAGGCAAACUAAUAUGCAAAAAGUGUUCACGAAACAAUCACUAAUUUCAUAAUUGUAAUAUACUUAUUAAGUUAAAAUUCCCUUUUAGCGUUUUGACUUUUACAUGAGAAAAAGAAAAAGUAGCAGGCAUCUGGAACAUGUUGUAAAAUGGUGUGGAAGGCCAACGGAUUUCGUACUGUAAAGUGUUACUUGUUCUAUGGCCAGCCAUCUAUAAAUGUUCUGAUAUGUCAAAAUGGGGUCUUACCAUUUUUCAAAGAAAAAGGUAAGAUCAGGUGGAGGUAUUAUUUUGUUGCGUUUUCACACUCACUUUUCUAGUUUUCAACCUUCCAAUUAGACCAAAAAGAUACCUAUGAAGACUAAGACAUGUAAAAUGCCAUUGGUGACCUCCUUCUAAAGAUGUUUUUCAUACUUCUUUCGUGCCAAUGGCAAAGGCAGUAAUUAAUAGCAAGAUCAGUCCACAUAUACCAGCCUACCAUCAACAUAAAUUAAUUUUCUCUCUUUACAUGCUGUUUUAAGAGUCUCCUUAUGUUGACUUCCCCCUCCCAGGAUGAGGUUUAAAAGAACUACAGAAAGCUGUAUCUAAAUUGUGGAGAGAAGUUCAGUGCUGAGGCUACUGGCAGAGUGCAUUGGACACUCCUCACAAUGUCCUCGGGGAAGGUCUGAGAUUAAAGCUAAUGGCUGCUUUCACAAAGCAUUGCUUGACCCAAGCAAGUGGGUUCCCAUCAACAUUGGUAAGCUUGAUCCUUCAAAGCAGAAGAUGUAGUUCUCUCUCAGAAUGUGGAAUUGCUACAGAUGUGAUGUCAUCAAGCUUGGAAGAAACUCACAGCUGGCUGUUGUAAGUCCAAUAACUGAAAGGAAGCUCCCAGGUGUUUCCUAACUCAAUUCAGACUACUCUCUCUCCACUUUUGCACAACCAUCUGUCUACAGCUCCCUUUUGGCAGAAAAAUGCAAUGUUGACGUUUCAGAAUCAUCAAUUUUAUUUACAUUAAUGAGCAUCUACAUGAAAUAAAAACAUCUCUUGAUUUUUCAAAAAGAAAUAUCACGAAACCGAUGCCGAAACAUCUUUGAAUAAAUGUUGAAUAGGCAAACUAAUAUGCAAAAAGUGUUCACGAAACAAUCACUAAUUUCAUAAUUGUAAUAUACUUAUUAAGUUAAAAUUCCCUUUUAGCGUUUUGACUUUUACAUGAGAAAAAGAAAAAGUAGCAGGCAUCUGGAACAUGUUGUAAAAUGGUGUGGAAGGCCAACGGAUUUCGUACUGUAAAGUGUUACUUGUUCUAUGGCCAGCCAUCUAUAAAUGUUCUGAUAUGUCAAAAUGGGGUCUUACCAUUUUUCAAAGAAAAAGGUAAGAUCAGGUGGAGGUAUUAUUUUGUUGCGUUUUCACACUCACUUUUCUAGUUUUCAACCUUCCAAUUAGACCAAAAAGAUACCUAUGAAGACUAAGACAUGUAAAAUGCCAUUGGUGACCUCCUUCUAAAGAUGUUUUUCAUACUUCUUUCGUGCCAAUGGCAAAGGCAGUAAUUAAUAGCAAGAUCAGUCCACAUAUACCAGCCUACCAUCAACAUAAAUUAAUUUUCUCUCUUUACAUGCUGUUUUAAGAGUCUCCUUAUGUUGACUUCCCCCUCCCAGGAUGAGGUUUAAAAGAACUACAGAAAGCUGUAUCUAAAUUGUGGAGAGAAGUUCAGUGCUGAGGCUACUGGCAGAGUGCAUUGGACACUCCUCACAAUGUCCUCGGGGAAGGUCUGAGAUUAAAGCUAAUGGCUGCUUUCACAAAGCAUUGCUUGACCCAAGCAAGUGGGUUCCCAUCAACAUUGGUAAGCUUGAUCCUUCAAAGCAGAAGAUGUAGUUCUCUCUCAGAAUGUGGAAUUGCUACAGAUGUGAUGUCAUCAAGCUUGGAAGAAACUCACAGCUGGCUGUUGUAAGUCCAAUAACUGAAAGGAAGCUCCCAGGUGUUUCCUAACUCAAUUCAGACUACUCUCUCUCCACUUUUGCACAACCAUCUGUCUACAGCUCCCUUUUGGCAGAAAAAUGCAAUGUUGACGUUUCAGAAUCAUCAAUUUUAUUUACAUUAAUGAGCAUCUACAUGAAAUAAAAACAUCUCUUGAUUUUUCAAAAAGAAAUAUCACGAAACCGAUGCCGAAACAUCUUUGAAUAAAUGUUGAAUAGGCAAACUAAUAUGCAAAAAGUGUUCACGAAACAAUCACUAAUUUCAUAAUUGUAAUAUACUUAUUAAGUUAAAAUUCCCUUUUAGCGUUUUGACUUUUACAUGAGAAAAAGAAAAAGUAGCAGGCAUCUGGAACAUGUUGUAAAAUGGUGUGGAAGGCCAACGGAUUUCGUACUGUAAAGUGUUACUUGUUCUAUGGCCAGCCAUCUAUAAAUGUUCUGAUAUGUCAAAAUGGGGUCUUACCAUUUUUCAAAGAAAAAGGUAAGAUCAGGUGGAGGUAUUAUUUUGUUGCGUUUUCACACUCACUUUUCUAGUUUUCAACCUUCCAAUUAGACCUAAAAGAUACCUAUGAAGACUAAGACAUGUAAAAUGCCAUUGGUGACCUCCUUCUAAAAAUGUUUUUCAUACUUCUUUCGUGCCAAUGGCAAAGGCAGUAAUUAAUAGCAAGAUCAGUCCACAUAUACCAGCCUACCAUCAACAUAAAUUAAUUUUCUCUCUUUACAUGCUGUUUUAAGAGUCUCCUUAUGUUGACUUCCCCCUCCCAGGAUGAGGUUUAAAAGAACUACAGAAAGCUGUAUCUAAAUUGUGGAGAGAAGUUCAGUGCUGAGGCUACUGGCAGAGUGCAUUGGACACUCCUCACAAUGUCCUCGGGGAAGGUCUGAGAUUAAAGCUAAUGGCUGCUUUCACAAAGCAUUGCUUGACCCAAGCAAGUGGGUUCCCAUCAACAUUGGUAAGCUUGAUCCUUCAAAGCAGAAGAUGUAGUUCUCUCUCAGAAUGUGGAAUUGCUACAGAUGUGAUGUCAUCAAGCUUGGAAGAAACUCACAGCUGGCUGUUGUAAGUCCAAUAACUGAAAGGAAGCUCCCAGGUGUUUCCUAACUCAAUUCAGACUACUCUCUCUCCACUUUUGCACAACCAUCUGUCUACAGCUCCCUUUUGGCAGAAAAAUGCAAUGUUGACGUUUCAGAAUCAUCAAUUUUAUUUACAUUAAUGAGCAUCUACAUGAAAUUAAAACAUCUCUUGAUUUUUCAAAAAGAAAUAUCACGAAACCGAUGCCGAAACAUCUUUGAAUAAAUGUUGAAUAGGCAAACUAAUAUGCAAAAAGUGUUCACGAAACAAUCACUAAUUUCAUAAUUGUAAUAUACUUAUUAAGUUAAAAUUCCCUUUUAGCGUUUUGACUUUUACAUGAGAAAAAGAAAAAGUAGCAGGCAUCUGGAACAUGUUGUAAAAUGGUGUGGAAGGCCAACGGAUUUCGUACUGUAAAGUGUUACUUGUUCUAUGGCCAGCCAUCUAUAAAUGUUCUGAUAUGUCAAAAUGGGGUCUUACCAUUUUUCAAAGAAAAAGGUAAGAUCAGGUGGAGGUAUUAUUUUGUUGCGUUUUCACACUCACUUUUCUAGUUUUCAACCUUCCAAUUAGACCAAAAAGAUACCUAUGAAGACUAAGACAUGUAAAAUGCCAUUGGUGACCUCCUUCUAAAAAUGUUUUUCAUACUUCUUUCGUGCCAAUGGCAAAGGCAGUAAUUAAUAGCAAGAUCAGUCCACAUAUACCAGCCUACCAUCAACAUAAAUUAAUUUUCUCUCUUUACAUGCUGUUGUAAGAGUCUCCUUAUGUUGACUUCCCCCUCCCAGGAUGAGGUUUAAAAGAACUACAGAAAGCUGUAUCUAAAUUGUGGAGAGAAGUUCAGUGCUGAGGCUACUGGCAGAGUGCAUUGGACACUCCUCACAAUGUCCUCGGGGAAGGUCUGAGAUUAAAGCUAAUGGCUGCUUUCACAAAGCAUUGCUUGACCCAAGCAAGUGGGUUCCCAUCAACAUUGGUAAGCUUGAUCCUUCAAAGCAGAAGAUGUAGUUCUCUCUCAGAAUGUGGAAUUGCUACAGAUGUGAUGUCAUCAAGCUUGGAAGAAACUCACAGCUGGCUGUUGUAAGUCCAAUAACUGAAAGGAAGCUCCCAGGUGUUUCCUAACUCAAUUCAGACUACUCUCUCUCCACUU